GACGAACGCUGGCGGCGUGCUUAACACAUGCAAGUCGAACGGAAAGGCCUCUUUCGGGGGGUACUCGAGUGGCGAACGGGUGAGUAACACGUGAGUAACCUGCCCUUGACUUUGGGAUAACUUCAGGAAACUGGGGCUAAUACCGGAUAGGAGCUCCUGCUGCAUGGUGGGGGUUGGAAAGUUUCGGCGGUUGGGGAUGGACUCGCGGCUUAUCAGCUUGUUGGUGGGGUAGUGGCUUACCAAGGCUUUGACGGGUAGCCGGCCUGAGAGGGUGACCGGCCACAUUGGGACUGAGAUACGGCCCAGACUCCAACGGGAGGCAGCAGUGGGGAAUAUUGCACAAUGGGUGGAAGCCUGAUGCAGCAACGCCGUGUGCGGGAUGACGGCCUUCGGGUUGUAAACCGCUUUCGCUCAUGACGAAGCUUUGUGUGACGGUAGUGGGUAAAGAAGCACCGGCUAACUACGUG
rnacentral:rRNA from 1 species